UACGGGGGGGGCAAGCGUUGUUCGGAAUUACUGGGCGUAAAGGGCUCGUAGGUGGCCAACUAAGUCAGACGUGAAAUCCCCUCGGCUUAACCGGGGAACUGCGUCUGAUACUGGAUGGCUUGAGUUCGGGAGAGGGAUGCGGAAUUCCAGGUGUAGCGGUGAAAUGCGUAGAUAUCUGGAGGAACACCGGUGGCGAAGGCGGCAUCCUGGACCGAUACUGACGCUGAGGAGCGAAAGCCAGGGGAGCAAACGGG
rnacentral:rRNA from 1 species